rnacentral:lncRNA from 1 species
GGACAAGAAUAAUUUGGCUGCUUCUAAGAGCAGCUGUAAUGUGUGGAACACUGUAUUUGAUUUGAAUCCUUUGCCUUUCACUGGAAGGAUAAAAACAAAAAGCAGAAGUCCAUUUCAUCUACUUGCACAAAACAGAACCUACAGUUCCCAGAAGGAUAAAUACAGGAAAGGACUUGGCAUAAAACAUAAGGAAGGUUUUUUAGCUUUUAGAGCAUCUCCAGAGUUACAAGCGUGCUAUGGAUCCAGCGUGCAAGGCCUGAUACUGGAGGCCCAAGUCCCAUUCAUUAACUAACUCCAGUGUCCCUCAGCCACACUUUCCACAGAUACAGGAAGAGGAAUGCUCCCUUUCAUUGCAGUAUUUGCAUAGACCUCAGAGAGCUGGUUGCUGGUAAUAACUCCUGGCCAUAUCCUCUAGCUGGUAGGUAGGUACUUCUCCACAGAAAUACUAAUGUCUGUCCACGUGCAUGUGCUGUAGCCUUCGGUAGAGCUCUUUCUUGUUAUUUGUUAUAGACCAGGUGCUGCUGAACCAGUGUUUCCUGAGAGGUGUAGCGCCACUGAAACAGCUAUCCUAGAUGCAACCUGGUACACUGGCCGUGCUUCUGAUGCCAGUUGUAGAAGGAACAUGCAGAGGAAUUUUGAGAAAUCACAGGCAGUUUUUAAUUUCAUACCGACAUACACGGCACGUCUCAGCCAGAAGCAACAUAGGUACCAAGAGGACGGAGAUGAGGCCCCGUCCAGCAAAGGAACAGUUUCCUGGAACGAGCUUCAAGAGUGGCUGGAACAUAUCCUUUCCUGUAUCUCAUGUAUUGCAUUUCAGAUGCCACAUUUCUCUGGCUUGGGGUAAGCAUACUUCUGUGCAAAUUAUUGGACCAAGCAAGGACAGGGGAUUUUGCUUGUUCUUCUGAUCCCUUAAUAUUCAUAUGGUGCACUGCCUUAUGCAACAGACAGUGACGACCUGAUCCUAACAGCUCCAUCUUCUACAGACAAGUCUAAAGGAAGUACAUGGUGAGUUCAGGCAACUGAGAAUAGCAGGGGGGGACUGAAGGAGGGGCUGACCUAAUUUUGGAUCUGAAGCAGAGAGCUUUUGUCAUUCAAUAACAUGGUGGUCAGAGAGGACAAUUCUGUUAUCCCACAGGACAAAUGCAACCACUAGCCUGGCAUUCAGGGAAUCAUAUAACACUACUGUACCCUUUCUUCCAGUCCUAAUCCUGGUGUGUCUUUCUACCCUUCCCUCCCCCACACCAUAAAUGGGUAAUGUUUCAAAUUAUGUCAUGUACACUGUAUUGGGGUGAUUACAUAUGGUACAGAGGAAUCACAAGAUGUGUUUGUUUUAGCAUUCAAAUCAAGUUUAACCCAGAUCCAGAGCUGCUACUUUGAAUUAGAACAUUUAAAAAUAAUAAAAGAGGUUUUCUUUGAAAUAAAUUUUAGCAUGCUGUACGUACGUUUUGUGAGUACUGUCCUGGCCUCUGUCAUACCUUCGCCCUAGAAGAUUAUCGGGACCAAAUGCUGUCUUUUGUUCUGCUCAUCAAAUCAAUCUCAGAUUGUCUUGAGGGAACUACCCUGCAAGAUACCUCUCCAGCAAUUCUUUUAAUUGGACCAAACUGUAAUUCCCUUUCAGCUCUACGUUUGCCACACUCAGUGAGACUAUGAACAGUAACUUUGACUCUGUAAAGUGGGAUAGGGAGGAGGGAGGAAAUCACCAAAUGAUGUCCCGACUGAUACUUUGCAGUCAAUUUUAGGAUGCCACAUGUAUAAAGGUGCUUUCAGAGCAGGCAUUUAGUUGUGACCUGACCUAACCAGCCAUUUGUAAUGAUUAUUUCUACUGGGUGGGGAAGCAACAAACUAGAUAUCACCAACUUAAUCUGCUACUGCAGAAGCAGCCUGAGAUAGUAUGAAAGCCAUCUUUACCAUUAGAAGCUUUCUUGGCACUACGUUAAACCCUGUGCGAUCAUCUAAGAAACUCAUCCUGUUUGACAUGGACAAGGUAGCAGCCAUACUCUCCUACCUCUUGAAGAAAGCAAGUGGUGUUAAAGAGACCAAUACAGAAGGAGAGCUAAAGCUUCUGCUGACUGCAGCACAUGGAAAAUGAGAAAUCAUACUCACUGAAAACUACUGCUUUAAUGGUUUAGAAACUGCCGAUUGUGCAAUAGUUCACUUGCAUUGGUCCCAUAAACCACCAAGAAUUCAGUGUCUACAAGGUUCACAGGAGGCAUGUUAGACCACAAGAUGUGCAUGACUCACAGUCCAACCAACUUUUUGAUACUAAAAGGAACAAAUUGUUCCUUUAGUAAAAGUAGCUUUGGAUGGACAGGAGAAGGAUUCCCGUUCUCAGCAGAGAAAGGAAUUGAGUUGUAUCCUACAUCCUAGAGAAAUGACCUACAGCCUAGACUUCAAAUAAAUAAAAAUAGGACCAACUUCCUUAGUUUAUCCAGUAUUCAGGUAGUUGGAGCACUCACCAAAGGCAGGGCAGACCAAGGUUUAAUUAGACAGAGAUCAGGACCCAAAUAACCUAAAUGAACGCUCGUAAUCACUGUACUAUUGUUAAAACAAAGGAGUGGCCCAAAGCAAAGGUGUCCUUGAAGGAGACAGCUUGAGCUGGAAGCCCUUAACCAACAUAAGGAGCGUGGUUAGGCAUUGGCAUCAUGAAACACUGAAGAAGGAACAGCUUAAACAGGAGGAACUGACAGCACAGCUUAAAUUGGAGUUUUAUCCCAGGUGGGUGCUGUGGGGAACACCUGCCACAGCAAGCCCUGAGAAAUGCUUAGUAUGUAGGUUUUGGUGGGCUGCAGACACAAGGUAU